UUCCCUUUAGCAUAAUGGAUAGUGCGUUGGACUUGUAAUCCAACUUCGUGGGUUAGAAUUCCACCUGGGAUA